UAAAAUUAACUCAUUACUUUGAUCAUAUGCUGGUGUAGGUUGCAUAUUUUAAAAUUACAUUUUCCAAAUGGCCCAUCUCAUUUUUCAUACAAAUGAUAUAUUUCAACUCCAUGUGAAUUUUAAGUAGAAAAUUCUGUUGUUCUACAAAUGGAAAGAAAUGGACUCACAUUUCACAGAAUACAUUAAUGAAGAAGGAGGCAGACACACUUUCUCCCAAUGACAUCAAAAGGAAGAUAGAGACAUCGAGCAGAAAACUUUUUUUUAGUAGAAGGAUAUUUGAGUUUUCUUCUAUAAGUUGAUCUCUUGAGAUCAGUUGGGGGAAAAAGAAAACAUUAUUCUUAUGCCCUGUUUCUGGAGUGAGAUGAAGAACAGAAUUUCUUUCCUGAAGAUUUAAUCUGGGUCAGUUUAAACGCUGGCCCAGGCUAGCUCCUUGGGGAGGUUUCUCCUGAAAGCCCCACAAGAGCUCCUUGAGUCCAGAGGUGGGGGAGGAAAAGGGCCCCACUCUAUAAACAGAGCCUCAGGAUGACAAUCCAAUCAGCCCAGAAACUAGCCGGGCCCUCACUUAAAUUUAAUGUCUCUGUGUUUGCACUGAUAGUGCUAACAAGCCAGCCCAGGCCCAUCAGCAUCAGGAAAUUUCUUUUAAUUACACAAUGAGAGCACUGUGCAAACCCCUCCACACUGCAGGUCGGUGCCACAUCACACAGGGACAAGGGGAGGCUCGAGGGUGGAGGCUGCUUUUUGCUGAAGAGCUGAAGAUUAUCUGUGGGAAUUCUUUCAAAGCAGCAGAGGUGAUUAAAAUAUAUUUAGCACUCAUUUCUCUCCUGCUUUCCUCCUUCAUCCUCACAAAUAUCACUGGAAGAGGAACAAUGCAUCAUUAAUAUCCUUGAUCCUCCAUUCCGAAUAAGGGGAGGAAGUCUUCAUUUGCACAAGCUGUAGAGGCAGGGAGAAGGACCCCACACUGAGGUGUCCUAUUCAGGGUCAUGUAAAAAACCAAGCCAGGCAAUCAGCUCCAUCUACUUCAGGCUCUAAAUAGAGUUUUUCUUUUGGGAGCAUGGUAGAGGGGGUUCUCUGAAUUUUAUGAUGCUGGUUUGUUUUUGUUUUGCUUUGAUAGGUUUGCUUUUUUGAAUUUUUUUUCUAUAUCAAUUCUGAUUUGUUAUGUUUUUUAAAAAAAUUUUAAUAAACAUUUGACUGAUCUGAGGUUGUUGAAGUGUGAACUGGGAUAAGAACAAAAAAGCAAUAUGUUAUUUUAGGAAGGUAAGAAAAGAAAAAUUAAGUGGCAGGAUUUUUUUUUAAUUCUAGCAGCCCUCAAGAGUUUGUAUCAAGCUAUAUUGGGGGUUGGUGGGAGAGGAGGGACAGGGAGAGAGAGGAGGGGGAGCAAGAGGAGGGAGAGAGAAUGUUCAUACAUAUCAGAUUUCGGCUAAUGGCUCCCCUGCUAACAGUGGGAAGCAAAAACUUGAAGUAGUCAGUGUAAGGUUUGGAGGUUCAAGCUUCAGUUUUCACAAAAAUGCCAACUUACUCCAAGAAAAGAUUCCUUAGGCCAGAGCAGACAGAGCACCUCUACACUAACAUGAAUAUGAUAUGCUUUGAGGGACCCAAAGGAAAAAGGUCCCACCCUUAGGUCAAACUUUAAAAAUGCCAUAUUCAUAACACAAAAAACUCCAGCCUAUUGGAAUGCUGGCUACAUCACAAUAUCACAGUUUCCAUUUAUUCGAAAUUACCAUUUAUUAGAAAUUAACCAUCCCCCCUAUACACACACACACACACACACACACACCCUGAAAGGGCUUUCCUUGUCUUAAGCCUCUGUGUAUGAAACACUCUGGAACCCACCGGCCUAGGUGUUAGAACAGCACCGAAGUUGCCAGGGCCAGGGGUCCAGCCAUCCUGACCUCUGCUAGCCACCCUGCAAGGGCCGAUGUUCCCACGCAGGAGGCCCCAGGGAGGUGGUACUGAGCAACCGGCCACACCCAAGGAAACAGCUCAGAGCUCAACUUCCUCCUGAAUUAGGCCACACCCGAGGCCUCCCGGGUCUCAUCCACGCCUCUGGGUCCAUCACUAAACAGAAGGCACAAUCCCACUAACUCUUACUCCAUCGCUGCUCAUGAAACUCCUGCCAGUAAGGACUGGGUCAAGCACCUGAAAACCAGAGCUCGUCCGUGGCUUCACUUGUUUUGGACUAAGGAGCUGAGGAGCGUGCAAGACUGUACUUGGAGAAUCUGUUUCUUGCUGCCAUUUCGUCACUGAACACUAUUUUUUUUCUCCUUCUUUUUUUGUAAGAAAAGGAGAACACAUAAAACCCCACCAGAACAAACUCCACUCGGCCCUGAAAGUAUUUACAAUCACGGCCCUGAAAGUACUGAAAGUAUUUACAAUCACGUUACAGUUCAUUCACUGCUGCAGAACCUCUCUCCAGCGAUCAAGGUCGAAGGGAGCCGACGUCGCCCUCUAUCGGCUCCCUGCUGCACUAGAAGGCAGGAGGCAAUCAUGCUCACCCUCUUCCACAGCCGGACUCACUCAGGAGGCCCUUCAUCUUCAUGUUCCCCACAUAGCAGAGGGGAGGGCAGAAGAUGAGAGGGAGGAGAGAGCAGAGCCAAGAGCCUCCUUUUCUCCCACUGUGCCCCUCCUAUGUGUGGCUCUGGACACCAGGAACCACCCAAGGACAGUGGGACUCCUCGAAAAGAUAAUUGCUCAUGAGGGAUCCAAGAGCAAGGCUUGUUACAUCCUAUAACCUUCACACAAAAUAUUGACUGAGAAUCCUCCAUGUGCCAAGUACUGUUCAAAAACACUGGGAACCCAGCAGGGAUGAGCCACAAGUUUCCUUGUCUUUACGAAGCUUUCAUUCUGAGGGAGUGGAGAGAGACAAGCAAUAAACAACCAAUCAAAACAAAGAUGACUCCUCUGAGUGUUGUGAUAUGCGGGUCAAGGAGGAUGGCUCCCAGGAUGUGACCUCAGAGCAGAAGCCUGGAGGCUUGCCAGCAGCGGGAAGAGCAGCGGCAGGGCACUGCAGGCAGAGGUGACCAAAAGCGUGAAACCUUGAGCUGGGAAGCACGUGGUCUGCUGGAAAGUGGGCUGAUGUAUUUGAAGAGAGCAAGGAGCAGAAUGGUACAAUGGGGUGAUGGGGGAAGAGCCAGGCAGAGCCCAGUGCUGCAAAGCCCGGUAGCACAUACAUGUGUAACGUACCUUGAAGCAAAUGAAUGGCCUGAUCUGGUUUCUGUUUUGGCUGCUCUGUGGUGAUGUGGUGCCUGGGAGGCAAAGAAGCUGGGAAAGAAGCGGUUUUUCUCUUCUAGGUACUUUAAAGCUCUAUAAUAUAUGCUCAGGUGAAAUUUGGCUGGUAUUUUCAGGGACUUCACUGCUUUUGUGCCAUACUGGCCUCAUCAUGUAGAUAACAUCACGGAUUCAUUCCAUCUUAUUAUUCUGUAAGAGUGAUGUCUAAUUUUUUUAAAAAAGAAUCAGCUUUAAAAAAUGCAAAGUCUCAUAGAAAGUAACUCUUUUCUAUUUUAAGCAAGCAUUCAGAAUAUUAGCAGUGCUAAUCAGUACCUCACUAAACAGUUAUGACUGAUUCUAAGUGCAAAGUGGGGAAUGAGAGUAACAGAGAGUAUUUACUGGCUGCUAAAAGCAGGUACAAUGGGGAGCAUGCUAGAGAAACUGUCUCACUGAAUCCUCGGAUGACCCCAUGGUGUAGGUAAUACUGGAGAAACUGAGGCUGCAGUGGCCACAUGACUUGCACAAGGCCACCCAGUAAGAAUGGGAUAGAACAAGAGCCCAUGUCCAUAACCCCUCUCCUACUACGCUAAGGUCAGGGUGGCCCUUUAAGGUGACCAAAGGGUUAGAAAUAACAAACAAGAGUGGAUGAACCUAGGUUUAUUUUGUCUGGAGGAGAGAAAUCUUUGAGAGUGAUUAAUUAAAGCAUAUUCAGGAUAUUUUUUAAAUAAACGGAGAGAGCUGUUCUCCAUCAUCCCUAAUGGUAGAAGAAAAGGCCUUCACCCUCAGCCUGGCAGGUGAAGACAGAGAUAAAGAAUGUGCAGACUGUGGGAUCUUGCUGGGAGGGAGGCAGGACUCACCUACCUAGUCUGUCUCUGAUGCAUUUCUUUGGAAAAUGCAUGUUGACAGUGCUUCUAAAAGUAAUCAUAUGAGCUGCCUGAAAAGGUCAACUUUCAACUCUGGUAAAGAUUGGGAUGCCUUUUCCAGAUUAAUUCCACAUUGGUGUUUGUGGGCAAUGCUGAAACAAAAGAAAAUCCAGGCUAGCCAAAACUUUUCACAUAAAUAGUGACAAAAGCAACCGAGUGGCUGGACAGAUUUGAGACAGGAACAGCCCGAGGACUACAGCAGGGGCUCCCAGUCUGGAGACUCUAACAUAGAUCUCCAGAUGACCCCAAUGACUGGGAAUUGCUUUUACUCUGGACAGCCUGCUGGGCGGCCCCAGUUGACUGUCCCGGGUAUGUCCCGGGUCGCUAACCACUUUGACUGCCCCUGAGCCACAGAGUCAGGCAGGAGUCAGGGACACGUAGGUACUCUCUUCUCCCUGCCCCUCACCUUCCUUCAGGGCCACCUCGGCCACAAAGGCUGGCUCCACAUCAGUCAGCUACUCAGACAUGCUCUCGCCUCACCUCCU
rnacentral:lncRNA from 1 species